CCGAUGUGGCACGUUUUUAAGUUCAACGGUGUAGAAAUAUCCAAAUUACAUAAAAAUUUAAUAGAAAAUUCUACUUAACAUCAAUAGCAAGAUCAAUACUUCUGAUUUGAAAUUUGAGUCAUUUAUCACUAUUUUUUAUGAGAUUUUUAUUUUCAGCCGUUCAUUUUUAGGUUACUCGUUCACUAGACAAACGAAGUCAAAAAACUAUGAAUUUUGGUUUCUAUAUGGUUCCAAUAGCGUAGAUCAUGUUUAACAGAACCGAUCGCCGAAUCGGAUGUCCCAUCAUCGAAAAUAAUUUACAAGCAUGGAGGCCUUCGUACUU
rnacentral:lncRNA from 1 species